GGGGAUGUAGCUCAGAUGGUAGAGCGCUCGCUUAGCAUGCGAGAGGUACUGGGAUCAGUACCCAGUGCUCCA